UACGUAGGGGGCAAGCGUUGUCCGGAAUCAUUGGGCGUAAAGCGCGUGUAGGCGGCUCGGUAAGUCUGCUGUGAAAGUCCAGGGCUCAACCCUGGGAUGCCGGUGGAUACUGUCGAGCUCGAGUCCGGAAGAGGCGAGUGGAAUUCCUGGUGUAGCGGUGAAAUGCGCAGAUAUCAGGAGGAACACCAAUGGCGAAGGCAGUUCACUGGGACGGUAUUGACGCUGAGACGCGAAAGCGUGGGGAGCAAACAGG
rnacentral:rRNA from 1 species